UCCAGACUCCUACGGGAGGCAGCAGUGGGGGAUAUUGCACAAUGGGGGAAACCCUGAUGCAGCGACGCCGCGUGAGGGAAGACGGUCUUCGGAUUGUAAACCUCUGUCUUCGGGGACGAAACUGACGGUACCCGAGGAGGAAGCCACGGCUAACUACGUGCCAGCAGCCGCGGUAAUACGUAGGGGGCAAGCGUUAUCCGGAUUUACUGGGUGUAAAGGGAGCGUAGACGGCAUGGCAAGUCAGAUGUGAAAGCCCGGGGCUCAACCCCGGGACUGCAUUUGAAACUGUCAGGCUGGAGUGCAGGAGAGGUAAGUGGAAUUCCUAGUGUAGCGGUGAAAUGCGUAGAUAUUAGGAGGAACACCAGUGGCGAAGGCGGCUUACUGGACUGUAACUGACGUUGAAGCACGAAAGCGUGGGUAGCAAACAGGAUUAGAUACCCUCGUAAC
rnacentral:rRNA from 1 species